AACGCUAGCGACAGGCUUAACACAUGCAAGUCGAGGGGCAGCACAGGUAGCAAUACCGGGUGGCGACCGGCGCACGGGUGAGUAACGCGUAUGCAACUUGCCUAUCAGAGGGGGAUAACCCGGCGAAAGUCGGACUAAUACCGCAUGAAGCAGGGGCCCCGCAUGGGGAUAUUUGCUAAAGAUUCAUCGCUGAUAGAUAGGCAUGCGUUCCAUUAGGCAGUUGGCGGGGUAACGGCCCACCAAACCGACGAUGGAUAGGGGUUCUGAGAGGAAGGUCCCCCACAUUGGUACUGAGACACGGACCAAACUCCUACGGGAGGCAGCAGUGAGGAAUAUUGGUCAAUGGGCGCGAGCCUGAACCAGCCAAGUCGCGUGAGGGAUGAAGGUUCUAUGGAUCGUAAACCUCUUUUAUAAGGGAAUAAAGUGCGGGACGUGUCCCGUUUUGUAUGUACCUUAUGAAUAAGGAUCAGCUAACUCCGUGCCAGCAGCCGCGGUAAUACGGAGGAUCCGAGCGUUAUCCGGAUUUAUUGGGUUUAAAGGGUGCGUAGGCGGCCUUUUAAGUCAGCGGUGAAAGUCUGUGGCUCAACCAUAGAAUUGCCGUUGAAACUGGGGGGCUUGAGUAUGUUUGAGGCAGGCGGAAUGCGUGGUGUAGCGGUGAAAUGCAUAGAUAUCACGCAGAACCCCCGAUUGCGAAGGCAGCCUGCCAAGCCAUUACUGACGCUGAUGCACGAAAGCGUGGGGAUCAAACAGGAUUAGAUACCCUGGUAGUCCACGCAGUAAACGAUGAUCACUAGCUGUUUGCGAUACACUGUAAGCGGCACAGCGAAAGCGUUAAGUGAUCCACCUGGGGAGUACGCCGGCAACGGUGAAACUCAAAGGAAUUGACGGGGGCCCGCACAAGCGGAGGAACAUGUGGUUUAAUUCGAUGAUACGCGAGGAACCUUACCCGGGUUUGAACGCAUUCGGACCGAGGUGGAAACACCUUUUCUAGCAAUAGCCGUUUGCGAGGUGCUGCAUGGUUGUCGUCAGCUCGUGCCGUGAGGUGUCGGCUUAAGUGCCAUAACGAGCGCAACCCUUGCCACUAGUUACUAACAGGUAAAGCUGAGGACUCUGGUGGGACUGCCAGCGUAAGCUGCGAGGAAGGCGGGGAUGACGUCAAAUCAGCACGGCCCUUACAUCCGGGGCGACACACGUGUUACAAUGGCGUGGACAAAGGGAAGCCACCUGGCGACAGGGAGCGAAUCCCCAAACCACGUCUCAGUUCGGAUCGGAGUCUGCAACCCGACUCCGUGAAGCUGGAUUCGCUAGUAAUCGCGCAUCAGCCAUGGCGCGGUGAAUACGUUCCCGGGCCUUGUACACACCGCCCGUCAAGCCAUGGGAGCCGGGGGUACAUGAAGUCCGUAACCGCGAGGAUCGGCCUAGGGUAAAACUGGA
rnacentral:rRNA from 1 species